rnacentral:rRNA from 1 species
AUGGUGGCGGCGGCGCCCUCUGGUGGCGGAGGAGGAGGGGGGAGAUGGUGGCACGGUGGCGACCUUCCCCUGACGCAUCCCAUCCCCCUCGUCACCCCGGAUCCCACCGGACCCGAGGCGUGCGGGCGCGGCGGCGACCUGCAAGGGAAGGGCGACGCUCGAAUCGAUCCAGCGCCAUGGAUCAGUCCUUGUGGGAGAAAGAGAAAAUGA